rnacentral:rRNA from 1 species
GUCUCAAAGAUUAAGCCAUGCAUGUCUAAGUAUAAGCAAUCUAUACGGUGAAACUGCGAAUGGCUCAUUAAAUCAGUUAUCGUUUAUUUGAUAGUACCUUACUACUUGGAUAACCGUGGUAAUUCUAGAGCUAAUACAUGCUAAAAACCCCGUCUUCGGAAGGGGUGUAUUUAUUAGAUAAAAAACCAAUGC